GUGUUUCUUCAUUUAAUAUGUUUGCAUGUAGUUUGUAUUUUCGCCACUAGGUGGCCACCUGAGCACGUCGAUACAACGCAACGUCGUUCAGACAGAGAGAGAUGUGCGUCGUUGGAAGAAAGCCACCAUUUGUGCUUCGUCUUUGUUUCUUAGAUGCCGAAAAGCUGUAGCUACACUAGAGUCGUGUUCACUUUCGAGACUUCUCAAACUCCAGAGUUCCCCAUGAGGACCUGCAGGGUAAAACCAUUUUUAAAAUUGUUUUUUUUGCAAUUCUAGUUCCUACAUACUGUGCACAUAGAAUGUUUAUCUAUAGUCCUUACUAGGUAUCUGUCAUACGAUACCAUAUUCAUACCCCGGACAGAUUUAGUGUUAAAGUAAUAUUCCAAGUAAUAUUUAGCCAACAUGUCUUUCUGACUCAAAAUAAUGUCAGUAUUUGAUAUUAUUUUGUUUUCCACCCAGAAUCCCAUCUUGAAUCUGAGGAGAGAGCUAAAAAAUUUUGGUGAUGGCAUGGAGACUAUCCCACCUCAAAGACUUGGAGCGCUUUGCUGAAGAUAAAUUAUCCAAAUACCUGUGAACACAUGGAAAACUUCUGGUCAGAUAUUACAAGAGCAAGUUAGACUGCUGUAUUGCCAAUUAUGAUUUUUCCUUCAAUCAUUAAGAAACAUAGAAAUAAU